AUGUCUUCCUCAAGCUCCCGCGCCACCUCGCGGAUGCAGAGCCGGGCGCGUGUGGACAUGCAUGUCUUCGUCUGUCCGCGGUGCCGGGCGGGCGUUGAUCAGAGGGUUUCUCGCACACCGAGGAACCAGAAUCGUCCGUUCUACGUGUGCAGCGAGAAUGGGGUAAGAACCGGGGAAAUUGCACCAUUUUCAUGGUCGGGAUCUUUGAGCAAUGGGUUGAUCUGUUUGGCGCUCAUGCAGGUGAAAUGCUUCUUUCUUUGGGUCGAUGCUCUGGCCAAGACUCUGAUGAAUGAACUGCAAGAAGAGCAUGAAGAAUGGUUGCGCAUGCUACCACAAACGACAGUGGCCGCAGCAUGA
rnacentral:rRNA from 1 species